rnacentral:misc_RNA from 1 species
GGGGUUCCCUCUGCAGCACAGCAAUGACAUCUUUAACAGAAAUAGUACGAGCCACCCUAGUUUGAGUUGCAUUGGUUUGGUUCCUUCCAAAUUUCCUGGAAGUUCCUUUUCUAUCACCUUCUUGGUUGUCCUUCCCAUGUCUUCCUGAUGCUGAUGAAGACUUACGCACAGCAUCUUUCCCUGCCUGAGAACCAGAAGCUGAAUCCAUUCCACCU